rnacentral:rRNA from 1 species
UACAGAGGUCUCGAGCGUUAGGCGGAAUCACUGGGCUUAAAGCGUGUGUAGGCGGAUCGGUAAGUACCUUGUCGAAAUCCCACAGCUUAACUGUGGAACUGCUUGGUAUACUGCCAGUCUUGAGCCAGCUAGGGGCUACCGGAACAAAUGGUGGAGCGGUGAAAUGCGUAGAUAUCAUUUGGAACGCCAAUGGUGAAAACAGGUAGCUGGGGCUGUGCUGACGCUGGAGACACGAAAGCCAGGGGAGCAAACGGG